rnacentral:rRNA from 1 species
AUUGAACGCUGGCGGCAGGCCUAACACAUGCAAGUCGAGCGGAGCGGCGGACGGGUGAGUGAGGCCUAGGAAUGUGCCUGGUAGUGGGGGAGAACGUCCGGAAAGGGGCGCUAAUACCGCAUACUAUCAGAUGAGCCUAGGUUGGAUUGGCUAGUGGGUUGGGGAAAGGCCUACCAAGGCGACGAUCCGUAACUGGUCUGAGAGGAUGAUCAGUCACACUGGAACUGCGACACGGUCCAGACUCCUACGUGAGGCAGCAGUGGGGAAUAUUGCACAAUGGGCGAAAGCCUGAUCCAGCCAUGCCGCGUGUGUGAAGAAGGUCUUCGGAUUGUAAAGCACUUUAAGUUGGGAGGCGUUACCAACAGAAUAAGCACCGGCUAACUUCGUGCCAGCAGCCGCGGUAAUAC